CUUUUAGUAUAAGUAUGGCCCAUGCAAUAUUUGGGCUAUACUUAUACUAACA
rfam:Macaca mulatta chromosome 9, whole genome shotgun sequence.